GAUGAACGCUGGCGGCGUGCCUAAUACAUGCAAGUCGAGCGAACAGACGAGGAGCUUGCUCCUCUGACGUUAGCGGCGGACGGGUGAGUAACACGUGGAUAACCUACCUAUAAGACUGGGAUAACUUCGGGAAACCGGAGCUAAUACCGGAUAAUAUAUUGAACCGCAUGGUUCAAUAGUGAAAGACGGUUUUGCUGUCACUUAUAGAUGGAUCCGCGCCGCAUUAGCUAGUUGGUAAGGUAACGGCUUACCAAGGCAACGAUGCGUAGCCGACCUGAGAGGGUGAUCGGCCACACUGGAACUGAGACAAGGUCCAGACUCCUACGGGAGGCAGCAGUAGGGAAUCUUCCGAAAUGGGCGAAAGCUUGACGGAGCAACGCCGCGUGAGUGAUGAAGGUCUUCGGAUCGUAAAACUCUGUUAUUAGGGAAGAACAAAUGUGUAAGUAACUAUGCACGUCUUGACGGUACCUAAUCAGAAAGCCACGGCUAACUACGUGC
rnacentral:rRNA from 1 species